AUAUCCUAUAAAAAAAAGGGUGUUUAAGUAAAUGUUUACUUUGCCCAUCACAAAUGUGAAUUUCAGUCUACAAAGCUGGCCUUCUCAGUCAGCCUCUAACUGGGAUGCUUCCUUUGUCAAGCUUUGUUUAUGUUUACUCAGUUUAGGAGUAAAUAUUUCCAAGUACAUUUCCAAUAGGCCAUGGCAGACAGUCUUUAUUAAAUAGUGGUAUCUUGCAUGGACGGAUGGAAUAUCAGUGAGAAGAAACCCCAUAGAUAGUGAGGGCAUCCUGUGACAAUGGGAUUCCUUUAGCCAGGCUGUGCAAAUGAGGCAAGAUUACCCUUAGCCUGGUUACGAACUAGGCAGAGAUUGCAGCAACCAAACCUAAAGUCCAGCACAACCCAUGAGCAAAAGCUCUUGUACCAGGUCUGCUGGCUUGGGAGACAGAAGAGUGGUGUGAAGGCCUGCAAGGGCAUAGCAGAUGUCACUUGGGGCAUGUGCUCAUGCUCUGGUUCUAACUGGGCAGGUUUCUGAGCCUUUGGGCUCCCUCCUAAACCUGGAGCUCCUGCUCAAAGCUGAGGAAGAGAGAUGAAUCUGAGUUCCUGCACCCCAAAGGCAUGCUUGAAACCCUAAGUGAGUGAUUGAGGCAUGGAGCUGUCCACUCCUUGAGAGGGCAGCGAGGGGUGCAAGAAUUAACCUGAUUUUAAGCACAUGCAUUCCAGGAGAGAGCUCAGUUCUGUGGAUGUGAAGCAGACAGACACACCUGAAAGAGGGAGCACCAAUGCAGAACAACGAACUUGCCAUUAAGGGCUGCAUGAGAUGGCUCCUGCUCAAGGCAGGCAUCUGGCCACACUGGAAAGUCCAUGAGAUUUAAGUAGUAGCUACUGAGUCUGUGUCACACUGGCUGCAGGAUGUUCUGCGAGAAAAUUGGUUAUGUGAAGAGUGUGAGUUCAUGGGCUGAUAAAAAUCAGCUUUUAUCAGACCCCAUCCUGUGCGCAGUGGCUCUAUGUGGCAUGCAGAAGGAACAGUUCUCUGAACUGGUGUUUCUGUGUAUGUGUCACUGAAUUUCUGCUUGCAUCUAAAUGCACUUUGGGAAGAAUUUAACCUUUAAAUUUGAAAUAUGUUUUUUGCCAUUCUAACAGGAGACUGAAGUAGUGAAACCCUACAGCUUUCAGGGAUUUAGGAAGGAACACCAUGACUGGACAGGCCUGGUUAAGCAGUUAUUUGCCUCUGCAAGCAACUCAAACCUCCUUGUGGUCAGUUGCAGGAUGCCCAUGGAGAAGCAGAUGCACCAGACCCCUUGCAUGUAAAAUUCUCUUCCUUCCUUGUGCGGGGAGCUUGGAAGUGAGCAGGGUCAUCUGUCACUGCAUCUCUUGAAAGCAGUAAUGUCAUCACCCUAAGCACAGAACUGCUUUGAAAGAUCCUUGGAGUGGGUGCAAAGAUUCACUUGGUCAAAAAAAGGGAAGUUUUCUGAAUCAGUUGUUUCCCAUGUUAGGAUGA